AGUCGGCUGGGGAGAAAGGGGUUUGGCACGGUGCAAAAAUGUCUCUCCUUUCUCCUCCUAG
ensembl:miRNA Mir6975 microRNA 6975